rnacentral:rRNA from 1 species
ACGAACCGUGCGAACGUUGUUCGGAUUCACUGGGCUUAAAGGGCGCGUAGGCGGCCGCUCAAGUCGAGGGUGAAAUCGUUCCGCUUAACGGGACAACUGCUUUCGAUACUGGGCGGCUGGAGGGAGGUAGGGGUGCGCGGAACUUCCGGUGGAGCGGUGAAAUGCGUAGAUAUCGGAAGGAACGCCGGUGGCGAAAGCGGCGCACUGGACCUUCUCUGACGCUGAGGCGCGAAAGCCAGGGGAGCAAACGGGA